AGAGCGCGGCUGUAGAAUUCAAGCAUUCAGCGUUUGCUGCGCUCUCUCUCUCUCUCUCUGUCCGUGUCUGUCACUCUAAACUUCGCUCUUUUUCUUUUCGUAGUCUGAGAUUCCGAAGUGGCUGUAGAUAUCUCAAAGCCAAGAUCCAAGUUUUUCCCCAGCGCAUUCAAUCAGCCACAGAACACUAUAACGAACCAGACUAGAAAAACGAUGGCUGCCAAGGGAAAGUAUGCUGCAGAUUUGAAUCGUGAAAUUGAAACUAGUCACACUUGCAAGACUGGCGGCGUCAGAAAUUUUAAGGUUUACACGGAAAGUGAAGCGGUUAAAGUUGUUGCAGAUAGCAUUGGAAAGAAGUCUGCAGCUGUUAACAAAAGGGCUAAUUCGACUACUGCUCAGAGUGCUUUGAAUAACAUGGAGAAGUGCAAAGGAAAACUUAUCAGUACCGAAAAAACAGUGGUCAGAAGAAAGGCAUUGGCUGACGUUAGCAAUGUCAAGAGAAACUCUCCGAGCAAUGCAAUGUGUGAUGGCCCCAAACUGAUGAAAGGUAUAAGCAAGACAGCUACGUCUUUGCAACGGGUUUCACUGCGUCCAGCCGGAAAGAUUUUGAAUGUCUCAUCAAGGAAAUCCAUUAUGGGAAAAGUGCAGGAAAGCACAAGUCAAGGUGUUGGUAACUUGCAUACUUCCAAGAGAGAUGGUUAUAGGAACAAGACCAUGAGUCAAAGCCAUGAUUCAGUUCGUACAAAUGGCAGGACUACAAGGAAUUCUCUUUUAUCAAAUAGGAACUCUUUGCCAGUGCUAAAAAGGGGGAACCAGGCAGAUGCAAGUAUCCCAAAGGAAAAUGCUGAAAUUUCUGACAUGGGCAAGGAAAAAAGUGGAUAUCUCGUUGGUAAAACUGGCAGGAAAGUAGCACCCCUAGUAAGAAAUGCUAGGAGUCAUCUUUGGAAGAAUCGAGUGAGUGAUGGCUUCAUAAUAAUGGGUCAAACUAAUGUAGAGGCCCGAGCAUUACAAAGAAAAAAUACCAGGCCAAUUGUGAAGACCACCCUCAAGGCUACCCACGCUCAAAGGACUUUGAAAUCCAAUAACAUUUCAAAUGUUAACAAACGGACAUCUGUAGCUGCAAUCUCGUCCAAGAAAAGGGAGGAAGCAGUGACAUCAUCUCUUCCAGCAAAUAUUGCAUUAGUGGAUCCACAAGAAGCCACAGAAGGGCAGCUUCCAUCUGAUGCUGAUGGCAAUCCACGGGUUGUACCAGAUAUCAUUGCUACUAGAAAAUCGGCUCGGAGGAGAUCUUAUACAUCUUCCUUAAUGGCAAGAUCAAAGUUAAUAGAGAAGUGUGGUGAAGCAAUGAAGUUGGAAGAGCUACCAAGUAUUGAUGACAUUUGCAAUCAACUGGAAGUGGCUGAAUAUGUUGAUGAGAUCUAUCAGUACUAUUGGGUUACAGAGGCACAGAAUCAAUCUUUGGCAAAUUAUAUGUCAGUUCAGACAGACAUUACAGCUCAUAUGCGUGGUAUUCUGAUAAACUGGUUAAUUGAGGUACACUUCAAAUUUGAUUUAAUGCAAGAAACUCUAUAUCUUAUGGUGACCUUGUUAGAUGGAUUUCUUUCACAAGCUACCAUAAAGAAGAAUGAACUGCAGUUGGUUGGUCUUACUGCACUCUUGCUGGCAUCAAAAUAUGAAGACUUUUGGCAUCCCAGGGUCAAGGACUUAAUUAGUAUAUCAGCUGAAUCGUAUAGAAGAGAUGAAAUGCUUGCAAUGGAGAGGCUUAUUCUUAAGAAAUUGAAGUUUCGUCUUAAUGUGGCUACUCCUUAUGUGUUUAUGUUGAGAUUUCUCAAGGCUGCUCAGUCAGACACAAAGGUUGAACGCUUGGCGUUCUACCUCAUUGAACUUUGCUUAGUUCAAUAUGAAGCUUUAAAGUUCAAGCCCUCUUUGCUAUGUGCAUCAGCUAUCUAUGUUGCAAGGUGUACCCUGAACAUGACUCCAGCUUGGACCCCCCUGCUUUGCAGACAUGCACGCUAUGAAGAAUCCCAACUCAGGGAUUGUGCCGAGAUGAUCCUAAGAUUCCAUAAAGAUGCUGGAACAGGACAGUUGAGAGUCACAUACGAAAAAUAUCUGAAGCCUGAUCUCAGUGGUGUUGCAGCAAUAACAACUUUAGAUAGGCUUCCCCUUUGAUUACACUUGGUGUGGAUAGCCUCUGUAGUUGGCAUCAUAAUGGAAAGUGUGCAGGAAAUACCUACUAAAAUUGUAUCUUUGGGGGAUUGUCGCUCGAUAGUAAUUCUACAAAAUUGAGGAAUUACACCUCGGCCGGUUGUUAAUCUUGGACAUUCUCCAUAUUAAAUGUUGGAGUCGCCUUGAUUUGCCAGCUGCUGCCUGAUAUAUUUGUAUUUUGUGGUGUGAUGAUAGUAAAAGUGACGAUGUGAUCUCACAUGUCAAGAUGCUUAUAACUUCCGUAUGUUGUGCCCUAGUAUUAUAGCCACAUUUCAAACAA